AAAUAUGAAGUAAAAAAUUACAUUUAGUUUCGACCUAAAAAUUUGGUAUAGUAAAUACCCUUAUUUA
rnacentral:tRNA from 1 species